UACGUAGGGUGCGAGCGUUAAUAGGAAUUACUGGGCGUAAAGCGUGCGCAGGCGGUUUUGUAAGCCAGAUGUGAAAUCCCCGGGCUCAACCUGGGAACUGCAUUUGGGACUGCAAGGCUAGAGUACGGCAGAGGGGGGUAGAAUUCCUGGUGUAGCAGUGAAAUGCGUAGAUAUCAGGAGGAAUACCGAUGGCGAAGGCAGCCCCCUGGGUCGAUACUGACGCUCAUGCACGAAAGCGUGGGGAGCAAACAGG
rnacentral:rRNA from 1 species